GCCAUGCUAUAUAUAGUGUAUCUAGUAGCCAUGCUAUAUAUAGUGUAGAGGCCAUGCUAUAUAUAGUGUAUCUAGUAGCCAUGCUAUAUAUAGUGUAGAAGCCAUGCUAUAUAUAGUGUAUCUAGUAGCCAUGCUAUAUAUAGUGUAUCUAGUAGCCAUGCUAUAUAUAGUGUAUCUAGUAGUCAUGCUCUAUAUAGUGUAUCUAGUAGCCAUGCUAUAUAUAGUGUAGAGGCCAUGCUAUAUAUAGUGUAGAGGCCAUGCUAUACAUAGUGUAUCUAGUAGCCAUGCUAUAUAUAGUGUAUCUAGUAGACAUGCUAUAUAUAGUGUAUCUAGUAGCCAUGCUAUAUAUAGUGUAGAGGCCAUGCUAUAUAUAGUGUAUCUAGUAGCCAUGCUAUAUAUAGUGUGUCUAGUAGCCAUGCUAUAUAUAGUGUAGAGGCCAUGCUAUAUAUAGUGUAUAUAGUAGCCAUGCUAUAUAUAGUGUAUCUAGUAGCCAUGCUAUAUAUAGUGUAUCUAGUAGCCAUGCUAUAUAUAGUGUAUCUAGUAGCCAUGCUAUAUAUAGUGUAUCUAGUAGCCAUGCUAUAUAUAGUGUAUCCAGUAGCCAUGCUAUAUAUAGUGUAUCUAGUG
rnacentral:lncRNA from 1 species